AAGAGUUGCAAAACUCCCACUAAACCAUUCGCGAACCGUACCACACAUAAGUUGCUUCGGCGCGCGCGCUGCCCGAGGUCCCUCACGGGGCGCGCCGAGAGCCCGCCGUACUACAAACUCUUAUUAUAACCAGCUACAUCUGAGUACUAUACUUAAUAAGUCA
rnacentral:misc_RNA from 1 species